UACAGAGGAGCCAAGCGUUGUCCGGAUUGACUGGGCGUAAAGCGCACGCGGGUGGUCGUGCAAGUGUCGUGUGAAAGCAGUUCGCUCAACGAGCUGAGGCAUGGCAGACCGCACAACUCGAGCCCGUGAGAGGUCGGUGGAAUUGCCGGUGUAGUGGUGAAAUGCGUAGAGAUCGGCAGGAACACCCAAGGGGAAGCCAGCCGACUGGCACGGUGCUGACACUGAGGUGCGACAGCGUGGGGAGCAAACGGG
rnacentral:rRNA from 1 species